rnacentral:misc_RNA from 1 species
AUAUCUCAACCCAGACAGGUUUCACAACCUGUUCUGUUGCUUGGAUGUUGAAGGCUUGCUGGCUUUUUUCAAGUCAGCUCCUUUUAAAUUCAUUAGCAGAAAUGAUAGGCAAAACUGGCUUCAGUUUGAUAAAAUACUUUAUCUGUACUGCUGUUGCUAGUGAAAGAUACCUAACAUAUUUCAGCUUCUAAUUGUCCCAUGUGGGACUGUCUUCUUGAAGGCAAUUAACCAAUUUGAC